ANCNNNNNAAAAGAAACNNNAAGGAUUCCCCUAGUANCUGCGAGUGAAGCGGGAAAAGCUCAAAUUUAAAAUCUGGUGNUCUUUGGCCAUCCGAGUUGUAAUUUAGAGAAGCGUCUUCCGCGCUGGACCGUGCACAAGUCUCCUGGAAUGGAGCGUCAUAGAGGGUGAGAAUCCCGUCUUUGGCAUGGAAUCCCAGGGCUUCUGUGAUGCGCUCUCGACGAGUCGAGUUGUUUGGGAAUGCAGCUCAAAAUGGGUGGUGAACUCCAUCUAAAGCUAAAUAUUGGCGAGAGACCGAUAGUGAACAAGUACCGUGAGGGAAAGAUGAAAAGCACUUUGGAAAGAGAGUGAAACAGUACGUGAAAUUGUUGAAAGGGAAACGCUUGAAGUCAGUCGCGUCGACCGAGACUCAGCCUUGCCUCGGCUUGGUGUACUUCUCGGCUGACGGGUCAGCAUCGAUUUCGAUCCUCGGAUAAUGGCAAGGGAAAGGUAGCACCUUUUUAGGUGUGUUAUAGUCCUCUGUCGCAUGCGAGGGUCGGGAUCGAGGAACUCAGCACGCACCUCAGGGUGUCGGGGCCUUGGCCCACGUUUACGUGCUUAGGAUGCUGGCGUAAUGGCUUUAAACGACC
rnacentral:rRNA from 1 species